rnacentral:rRNA from 1 species
UACGUAGGCAGCGAGCGUUGUUCGGAAUUACUGGGCGUAAAGCGUGCGCAGGCGGUUUGUUAAGUCAGAUGUGAAAUCCCCGGGCUCAACCUGGGAAUGGCAUUUGAGACUGGCAGGCUAGAGUGUGUCAGAGGGGGGUAGAAUUCCACGUGUAGCAGUGAAAUGCGUAGAGAUGUGGAGGAACACCGAUGGCGAAGGCAGCCCCCUGGGAUAACACUGACGCUCAUGCACGAAAGCGUGGGGAGCAAACAGG